rnacentral:rRNA from 1 species
GGACGAACGCUGGCUGCGUGCUUAACACAUGCAAGUCGAACGCUGAAGCCCCAGCUUGCUGGGGUGGAUGAGUGGCGAACGGGUGAGUAACACGUGAGUAACCUGCCCCUGACUUCGGGAUAAGCCCGGGAAACUGGGUCUAAUACCGGAUACGACYGUCGGACGCAUGUCUGGUGGUGGAAAGUUUUUUCGGUUGGGGAUGGGCUCGCGGCCUAUCAGUUUGUUGGUGAGGUAAUGGCUCACCAAGACGACGACGGGUAGCCGGCCUGAGAGGGCGACCGGCCACACUGGGACUGAGACACGGCCCAGACUCCUACGGGAGGCAGCAGUGGGGAAUAUUGCACAAUGGGGGAAACCCUGAUGCAGCGACGCAGCGUGCGGGAUGACGGCCUUCGGGUUGUAAACCGCUUUCAGCAGGGAAGAAGCCUCACGGUGACGGUACCUGCAGAAGAAGUACCGGCUAACUACGU